CGAAUGGGGAAACCCAGUGUGUUUCGACACACUAUCAUUAACUGAAUCCAUAGGUUAAUGAGGCGAACCGGGGGAACUGAAACAUCUAAGUACCCCGAGGAAAAGAAAUCAACCGAGAUUCCCCCAGUAGCGGCGAGCGAACGGGGAGCAGCCCAGAGCCUGAAUCAGUGUGUGUGUUAGUGGAAGCGUCUGGAAAGGCGCGCGAUACAGGGUGACAGCCCCGUACACAAAAAUGCACAUGCUGUGAGCUCGAUGAGUAGGGCGGGACACGUGGUAUCCUGUCUGAAUAUGGGGGGACCAUCCUCCAAGGCUAAAUACUCCUGACUGACCGAUAGUGAACCAGUACCGUGAGGGAAAGGCGAAAAGAACCCCGGCGAGGGGAGUGAAAAAGAACCUGAAACCGUG
rnacentral:rRNA from 1 species